UGAGGAAUCUUGCGCAAUGGGGGAAACCCUGACGCAGCAACGCCGCGUGAGUGAGGAAGGCCUUCGGGUCGUAAAGCUCUGUCAGAUGGGAAGAAAUGGGUGGGGGCUAAUAUCGUCCAUCCUUGACGGUACCAUCAGAGGAAGCACCGGCUAACUCCGUGCCAGCAGCCGCGGUAAUACGGGGGGUGCAAGCGUUGUUCGGAAUCAUUGGGCGUAAAGCGCGCGCAGGCGGCUUGGUCAGUCAGAUGUGAAAGCCCUGGGCUUAACCCAGGAAGUGCAUUUGAUACUGCCUCGCUAGAGUACGGGAGAGGAAAGUGGAAUUCCUGGUGUAGAGGUGAAAUUCGUAGAUAUCAGGAUGAACACCGGUGGCGAAGGCGACUUUCUGGCCCGAUACUGACGCUCAGGCGCGAAAGCGUGGGGAGCAAACGG
rnacentral:rRNA from 1 species